ensembl:lncRNA
CCCGAGGAGCCGGCCGGGCGGCAGCGGGCCGGGGCGGCCCCGGGGCUCCGAGCGCCGCCUCAGCUUCUGCGACCUCCCUUUUCCCCACUUAGAAUCGUGCCGAGGGAUCUGGAGACGUCCUAGAGAGGUUUGGGGGCAUCCAGGGGGUUCUGGACUCAUGCAGAAGAGUCUGGAGAUGUCCAAGGAGGAUCCAGGGAGUCCCCAGGCCUGCCUGCAGCCGGACCCGGUGACACCGGAGCCCUGUGGCGCUGUCACCAUCCUCUGUCCCGAGGACGGGAGGUGAACUCUGUGCCACCAGCAGAGGGGACCACGGGUGACAUCAGUGUGGAACAGCCGUGACGCGGCGGCGUUGUCAUUGGGUGUCACCGUCACGCAGAGGGGACAAAAGGACCCCCCUGGGGGCAUUGCGUCGAAGUUGGGGACACCGUGAGCAGCUUGAGGACUUCCCAGGGGAAGUGGGGGCACCGCGUCACCGUGUCACACCCCAAAGGUGGGGAUGCCCCCACAGUGUCACACCCCAAAGUUGGGGACGCCCCCACAGUGUCACACCCGAAAGUUGGGACAGCUCUGUGUCACCCCGAUGGUGUCAGACACCAAAGUUGGGACACCCCAAAGUUGGGGUCUGUCCCAGAGGUGGGAGUGCCCCCACAUCCCCACCAUGGCGUCACAUCCCAAAGUUGGGGACCCCCAUCUGGGGACCCGUUCUGUGCUCCCCCAAUUGCAGACAGCACUGUUCCCAUGGGGUGGGGGGGGGGGGCACCCUUUAUUUUUGGGGUUAAGGUUUAUUUCGUGAUAACGGGGGGUUGGGGGAUGCCCCCCCCAUGUGAAUAAAGGGCAGAGGAGCGGCUGUGGGCUCCGUGUGUCACACCGGGGGGUGCUUUGGGGACACUGCAGCAUCCCAGCCCCAUAGCCCCCAUGGCCCUAUAACCACUACAGCCCCAUCUCGUAGCCAUCCCAUAUCCAUAUCCCAUCCCAUAUCCCAUCCUGUAUCCAUAACCCUUCCAAUAUCCAAACCACCAUAUCCGUCCCACACCCAUAGCCCAAAUCCAUCCCAUAUCCGUAUCCCAAAUCCAUCCCGUAUCCAUACCCCAUCCCAUAUCCGUAUCCCAUCCCAUAUCUCAUCCCCUAUCCAUAUCCCAUCCCAACUCCAUGCCAAAUCUCUUUCUAUAUCCACAUCACCUUAUCCAUCCCAUAACCAUCCCAAAUCCAUCUCAAAUCCAUAUCUCAUCCCAGACCGAUCCCAUCUCCUUAUCCAUCCCGUAUCAAUGUCCCAUCCCUUAUCCAAUCCCAUACCCCAUCCUACAGCCAUCCCACAUCCAUACCCGCACAUCCCAUAUCCUAUCCCCAUCCUGUACCCCAUGUCCCAUAUCCAUUUCCAUCCCACAGCCUUCCCGAAUCCAUAUCCCCGCAUCCAUCCCGUGUCCACCCCAUAUCCAUUCCGUAUACUU